rnacentral:rRNA from 1 species
GAUGAACGCUGGCGGCGUGCUUAACACAUGCAAGUCGAACGGGAUCCUGCGGGCUUUGCUUGCGGGUGAGAGUGGCGAACGGGUGAGUAAUGCGUGACCAACCUGCCCCAUGCUCCGGAAUAGCUCCUGGAAACGGGUGGUAAUGCCGGAUGCUCCCGCGCCCCGCAUGGGGUGUGGGGAAAGCUUUCGUGGCAUGGGAUGGGGUCGCGUCCUAUCAGCUUGUUGGCGGGGUGAGGGCCCACCAAGGCGUUGACGGGUAGCCGGCCUGAGAGGGCGACCGGCCACAUUGGGACUGAGAUACGGCCCAGACUCCUACGGGAGGCAGCAGUGGGGAAUAUUGCACAAUGGGCGCAAGCCUGAUGCAGCGACGCCGCGUGCGGGAUGGAGGCCUUCGGGUUGUAAACCGCUUUUGUUUGGGAGCAAGCCCUUCGGGGUGAGUGUACCUUUC